rnacentral:tRNA from 1 species
CGGGGCGUAGCGCAGCCUGGUAGCGCGCCUGCUUUGGGAGCAGGAUGUCACAAGUUCAAAUCUUGUCGCCCCGACCA